ACGAAUGCGGCUGAAGUGGCUCCUCGUCAGGCUCAGGAGACGUCGUGCGGGUUCGUUCCGCGGCCCGCCGACUACUCUGCACUUCUGCGGGGAGCCGGCCAACGGCAGUUGUCCCCGGCCCAGGAGGGCGUUGGGGUAGGUGGCUCCGCGCUCGCGUGGAGAACUUAUAGCCCGGCGUCUGGACGUUCCGGUGGCGACUGAGGAGAGUUGCGAGUCUUCGCACGUUGCAGCGCAGGCCUCCCCCGAGGCUGGGCCGCUCUCGUCCGGCUGGCGGCCGAGGCUGUCACUGCGUGCAGUGGCGGCUUACGGCGUCUGCUUUCCGGGUGGGAGGUCGGUCGCACCUU
rnacentral:misc_RNA from 1 species